GAAAAUUUUAAGUUCGUACGAAGUUGGUCCCGAUCUCGUUAAAAUACCAAAAAGUGACCGAAGCAAGUACGAUGAAUAACGAAGUCUAUAACGAUGGUGCUGAAAUUAUAUACGAUAGCAAAAGAUGGACAUACGAAGGUUAAUCGAAGACGGGUAUUUAAGCUUCAUAUCUCAGCCGAAGCCUUCGCGAUGGAUCACGAAGGCUAC
rnacentral:lncRNA from 1 species